AUGCUUCUCCUAAAGACUAAGCCAUGCAUGCCUCCGACUAGAAGAGCAAUUCUCUCCGAAUCUGCGAACGGCUCCGCAAACCAGUUGUAAACCAUAGCGAGCAUGCCCUUGGACCGGUCGAAAGGCUGGUCCUUGGGUGAUAAGGAUAACCCUGGUAAUUCUGAGGCUAAUACUUGACUGCAAAGCCUGGCUAAACCGGGCAACCGGAAGGCUGGGGGACGUGUGAGUUGAUGCGCAAAAUAUAGCUGGGAGUAGAUA
rnacentral:rRNA from 1 species